rnacentral:lncRNA from 1 species
GGGUUUAAAAUUUUAAUUAAAAUUUAAUUCAAAUUAAUGAAAUUAUUUAUAUGAUAAAAAUAAUGCAAAUAGUGUGUUAUGUAAAUUAAUUUAAAUAUAAUUAAAAUUAAUUUAAAAAAUUACUAUAAAAGUUGAAAUUUUUAUUUAAAAUUAAAAGUUUAGACUAUAAAAAUAAAAAUUUGUAAAAUUAAAGUUUUUUAAUAAAUAAAUUAUUAUUUAUUAUUUAGUAUAAUAAAAAUCGAAUCCUUUAGCCCCUGCUCACAUAUGGGUUUAUUAAUAACGAAAUGUAGGUAUGUCAACACUAAUAUGAAAAUUUUCAUUUAUAUAAUUGAUAAAUCAAAGAUGUGUUUGUUUUGGGUUAAUAGUGGUCUAAAGUUAUUCAUAUUAAUGUUAUGAUUAUGGCUUAAUUCACAGGAUAAUUAGCUAUUAUACAAACAGUACCAUAAUUAUAUACCAUCUAAAUUCACCAAUAUUACAAUUCAGCCUAUCUAUUUUGAUCUUUUGCAGCACAUUGAACCUUUUCUGAUGCGGAUCGGACAGGACCUGGAUAGACUUUCUUAAACAUUGAAGGAAAGCAACCACCGGAUUGCUUGACUUCAACAUCAAACCCCUCAGCCUUAGCCCUUUCUUCUUCCAAUUUCUUCAGUGCCUCUCUCUGUAAUUUUCUCUGCACAUAUGCUUCAGCUAGGCAAUACCCAGGAGUUGCCAUGGCCUACGAGAUGUUGAGCAGGACCACGAGCCUAGAAAUGAAGCAGCUUAGAUGGCUGUGAAAUUGAGAAGGGCUUGAAAUGGUUAGUUUUUAUAGGCGGAUGGUGGCUUGGGAAGCAAGAAAAUUAAAAUAAAG